GAUGAACGCUAGCUACAGGCUUAACACAUGCAAGUCGAGGGGAAACGAUAGAGAAAGCUUGCUUUUUCUAGGCGUCGACCGGCGCACGGGUGAGUAACGCGUAUCCAACCUGCCCACCACUUGGUGAUAACCUUGCGAAAGUAAGACUAAUACCCAAUGAUAUCCCAAGAAGACAUCUGAAUGAGCUUAAAGCUUUAUCGGUGAUGGAUGGGGAUGCGUCUGAUUCGCUUGUUGGCGGGGUAACGGCCCACCAAGGCGACGAUCAGUAGGGGUUCUGAGAGGAAGGUCCCCCACAUUGGAACUGAGACACGGUCCAAACUCCUACGGGAGGCAGCAGUGAGGAAUAUUGGUCAAUGGGCGAGAGCCUGAACCAGCCAAGUAGCGUGCAGGAUGACGGCCCUAUGGGUUGUAAACUGCUUUUAUAAGGGAAUAAAGUGAGUCUCGUGAGACUUUUUGCAUGUACCUUAUGAAUAAGGACCGGCUAAUUCCGUGCCAGCAGCCGCAGUAA
rnacentral:rRNA from 1 species